UACGGAGGGUGCGAGCGUUGUCCGGAAUCACUGGGCGUAAAGGGCGCGUAGGCGGCGCGGAUAGUCGGCGGUGAAAGCCCGGGGCUUAACCCCGGGUCGGCAGUGGAUACGGGCAGGCUAGAGGUAGGUAGGGGGAGAAUGGAAUUCCCGGUGUAGCGGUGAAAUGCGCAGGAUAUCGGGAGGAACACCGGUGGCGAAGGCGGUUCUCUGG
rnacentral:rRNA from 1 species